CUCCUGUCUUCCACUGCCUCCCGCAGUUUAGUCAAACUCAUGCUGGUAGCUUCGAGAACACUAUCCAACCAUCUCGUCCUCUGUCGUCCCCUUCUCUUUGUGCCCUCCAUCUUUCCCAACAUCAGGGUCUUUUCUAGGGAGUCUUCUCUUCUCAUGAGGUGGCCAAAGUAUUGGAGCCUCAGCUUCACGAUCUGUCCUUCCAGUGAGAACUCAGGGCUGUAUUUCCUUAAGAAUGGAUCGGUUUGAUCUUCUUGCAGUCCAUUGGACUCUCAAGAGUCUCCUCCAGCACCAUAAUUCAAAAGCAUCAAUUCUUCGGCGAUCAGCUUUCUUUAUGGUCCAUUUCUCACUUCCAUACAUCACUACUGGGAAAACCAUAGCUUUAACUAUACGGACCUUUGUUGGCAAGGUGAUGUCUCUGCUUUUUAAGAUGCUGUCUAGGUUUGUCAUUGCCUUUCUCCCAAGAAGCAGGCAUCUUUUAAUUUCGUGGCUGCUGUCAGGCAGUGAGAGAUUUUACUUUCUUGGGCUCCAUGAUCACUGCAGCUGGCAUACAUACCUUUGAUUUUUUUAAAAAAAUUAACACAAGUUUUCUCUACACUUCUGACACAAUUUGUCACAUUUGUGGGCAUCUAAGGUGCAAGAAACAUCCAACUAAGCACUCAGAGUGUAGAAGAAGCUCUCCUGCAGGAACCUUAAAAGCAGAACCAUUUGCCACAAGGCUACAUUACAAUGUUUAAUAAGUUGGAGUUCUUGUUAUUAAAUAUACUAGCUGAUGAAUGUGAAUACAUCGAGACAGGGCCCUGUCCUGGUCUCCAAUCCAUAACUGACUUCUGCUUAACGAUUGAAACUGAGUCUCCAUCUGCAAGCUGAUAAAUUAUAAGGAUCAACAUUAUUGUCGAGUGAAAAGGAGAAAAUCUUUGUAACGAAUUAUUGUUUUAUACAUAAAUCUUUGAGUUUGGGUUUGUUAUCUCUGUUAGAGUUUGUAAUCUCUAUUUCAGUUUGUAAUCUUUAUUAGAAGACAUACUUUUGAAUGGAUUGGUUUUGGUUUCUAUUGACUAUUGAAUUGUGAGUAGGGACCACCCCCACUAUUAAAACUUAUAUUGAUCUGAA